rnacentral:misc_RNA from 1 species
GAUGAAGAACGUAGCGAAAUGCGAUAAGUAGUGUGAAUUGCAGAAUUCAGUGAAUCACCGAAUCUUUGAACGCACAUUGCGCCCUUUGGUAUUCCUUAGGGCAUGCCUGUUCGAGCGUCAUUUAAACCUUCAAGCUAAGCUUGGUGUUGGGUGACUGUCCGCUUCACGGCGGACUCGCCUCAAAAUUAUUGGCGGCCGGUACAUUGGCUUCGAGCGCAGCAGAAACGCGAACUCGGGCCCGUCGUAUUGGCUCCCAGAAGCUAUCUUCACAAUUUUGACCUCGGAUCAGGUAGGGAUACCCGCUGAACUUAAGCAUAUCAAUAAGCGGAGGA